CCUACGGGAGGCAGCAGUAGGGAAUCUUCCACAAUGGGCGAAAGCCUGAUGGAGCAACGCCGCGUGGGUGAAGAAGGUCUUCGGAUCGUAAAACCCUGUUGUUAGAGAAGAAAGUGCGUGAGAGUAACCGUUCACGUUUCGACGGUAUCUAACCAGAAAGCCACGGCUAACUACGUGCCAGCAGCCGCGGUAAUACGUAGGUGGCAAGCGUUAUCCGGUUUUAUUGGGCGUAAAGGGAGCGCAGGCGGUCUUUUAAGUCUGAUGUGAAAGCCUUCGGCUUAACCGGAGUAGUGCAUUGGAAACUGGGAGACUGGAGUGCAGAAGAGGAGAGUGGAACGCCAUGUGUAGCGGUGAAAUGCGUAGAUAGAUGGAAGAACACCAGUGGCGAAGGCGGCUCGCUGGACUGUAACUGACGCUGAGGUUCGAAAGCGUGGGUAGCAAACAGGAUUAGAUACCCCAGUAGUC
rnacentral:rRNA from 1 species